AAAGGAAUAGACGGGAGCCCGCACAAGCAGUGGAGUAUGUGGUUUAAUUCGAUGCAACGCGAAGAACCUUACCAGGGCUUGACAUCCCAGGGACCCGGCGUAAUGGCCGGGGUGCCCCGCAAGGGGAACCUGGAGACAGGUGGUGCAUGGUUGUCGUCAGCUCGUGUCGUGAGAUGUUGGGUUAAGUCCCGCAACGAGCGCAACCCUUACUGUCAGUUGCUACGCAAGAGCACUCUGACGGGACUGCCGUUGACAAAACGGAGGAAGGUGGGGACGACGUCAAAUCAUCAUGCCCCUUACGUCCUGGGCUACACACGUACUACAAUGGCGAGAACAAAGGGGAGCGAAGCCGCAAGGCGGAGCAAAUCCCAAAAAAAUCGUCCCAGUUCAGAUUGCAGGCUGCAACUCGCCUGCAUGAAGUCGGAAUUGCUAGUAAUCGCGGAUCAGCAUGCCGCGGUGAAUACGUUCCCGGGCUUUGUACACACCGCCCGU
rnacentral:rRNA from 1 species